UACAUACGAUGUAGACCAGAGAGAAAGUGAAGUACCAUCCUAUACCCAAACGCCAAGGCUACAUUGGAGCCAUGUGUCUGGAAUGUUGGCGCAAACUGACAAUGGGAAUUCUGGGUGGACAGACCACAUGUUGCACCGCUAAUUAAAGAUCGCAUGGAUGUAGCUCUCAGGUCAGAAUGCACAACUGUGUGUAAUUCUGAUCCAUGGGUUCUGAGAGUUUCUGGAUGACACGAGAACUUGAAUGGUACUCAGUUGGAGAGGACUGCCCUGCAGAGAUCAGUCCCGGGCCUGCAGAUGCUGAAGCAGAAAUGUUCAGAAGGGACCUACCUAAUUAUGUUAGAGUAUGUCAAAGUAACCUCGCGUGGAGAGAGGAGCCAUGCGAUCGCCUACUUCAGAGGUUUCUUUACCCAUCCAGAUCACGGCAAGGUUCUGGCAAUAACUUCACAAAAGCAAGUUGGAGUCAGCAGUUCCUGUCAUGGCAGAGCUUUCGUCUACACACGUGCAUUCUUCUCAGUCCUGGGGUAGAUAUCAAAGCUCCAGCUGCAGUGUUCACAAAGAGAGAGUUCGAGGUCAGCCUGGGACUCAUACAUUUCCAUCUCAACACCACCCCACAAACAUGUUUACCGAAGGUUAAAGAGGUAAAGGAAACAGCAUAUCUCUGAAUCUUCUGCUGGGGUCACACGUCAGAAAUCACAAGAAGCCUCGAGAAGGCCCCUGGACAGGGACCACUCUCUCCACGUGUCUACAGCUUCACCUCCAGACCCUCAGGUGGGACUGUUCUUUGGAAAGGAAACCCAUACAUCUGGUUCCCUCCCUUAAUGGUGAGGGUUGAGAGACAAAGUAGGACCUGGCUGACUUGAGCUCCAUCAAGGCCAUAGUUUAUU
rnacentral:lncRNA from 1 species